rnacentral:rRNA from 1 species
UGGGGAAUAUUGGGCAAUGGGCGCAGGCCUGACCCAGCGACGCCGCGUGGGUGAUGAAGGCCUUCGGGUCGUAAAGCCCUGUCGGGUGGAAAGAACGGUAUGGGUGCAAAUAGCGCUCAUACGUGACGGUACCACCGAAGGAAGCACCGGCCAAUUCCGUGCCAGCAGCCGCGGUAAGACGGAAGGUGCAAGCGUUGCUCGGAAUCACUGGGCGUAAAGGGUGCGUAGGCGGCAAUUCAAGUCAUCUGUGAAAUCUCCGGGCUUAACUCGGAACGGUCAGAUGAUACUGCUUUGCUAGAGUGCAGAAGGGGCAAUCGGAAUUCUUGGUGUAGCGGUGAAAUGCGUAGAUAUCAAGAGGAACACCUGAGGUGAAGACGGGUUGCUGGGCUGACACUGACGCUGAGGCGCGAAAGCCAGGGGAGCAAACGGGAUUAGAUACCCAAGUAGUCCCUGAGCGGGCUGGCAAGGCGCAU